rfam:Cajanus cajan Scaffold106077_1, whole genome shotgun sequence.
AAUAACCAAAUAUAAUACUUGGACUAAGGGUCAAGUUGGUAAUUUUUCUUACAUCUCCCCCCCCUGGAGCCCAAGUAUCAUAUAUACCCCCAAAAUAAAAAGCCUUGAAUACUAGAAGAAAAGCCCCUACACCUAACAAGAUUAAGUGAAUACCCAAAAUGGUAGUCAUUUUAUUUCUAUCUUUCCA